rnacentral:rRNA from 1 species
AUUGAACGCUGGCGGCAGGCCUAACACAUGCAAGUCAAGCGGUAGCACAGAGAGCUUGCUCUCGGGUGACGAGCGGCGGACGGGUGAGUAAUGUCUGGGAAACUGCCUGAUGGAGGGGGAUAACUACUGGAAACGGUAGCUAAUACCGCAUAACGUCGCAAGACCAAAGUGGGGGACCUUCGGGCCUCAUGCCAUCAGAUGUGCCCAGAUGGGAUUAGCUGGUAGGUGGGGUAACGGCUCACCUAGGCGACGAUCCCUAGCUGGUCUGAGAGGAUGACAAGCCACACUGGAACUGAGACACGGUCCAGACUCCUACGGGAGGCAGCAGUGGGGAAUAUUGCACAAUGGGCGCAAGCCUGAUGCAGCCAUGCCGCGUGUGUGAAGAAGGCCUUCGGGUUGUAAAGCACUUUCAGCGGGGAGGAAGGCAUUAAGGUUAAUAACCUUAGUGAUUGACGUUACCCGCAGAAGAAGCACCGGCUAACUCCGUGCCAGCAGCCGCCGUAAGAC